AAACAAAACAAAACAAAACAAAACAAAACAAAACAAAACAAAAAACCCAGCAACAACAACAACAAAAAAAUCUGCAUUCUUGACCAUUCUUUCCAUCUUAAGACAAUGAUAUGUUGAAUUAAUGCCUGAAACAAAGCUGCUUUGUGCACUAAAGGUUAGGGGCAGCGAAUUACAGAAAUAUCAAUGUAUUCUUCUUGAUUAGCAACUUCCCAGAAAAGUGGCUGAUGGUGGACUAAAUGCUAACAUAAGUUGUUUUUUGUUGUGUUUUGGUUCAGAUUGUUUUUUUUUUUUUUCCUAUGGAGAUAGAUGGCUCAGACUCUAGUUCUGGGAAACAUGUUCACAAAUUGUUUGUUUACAGUGGUUCUGGGAAACAGGUUCACAAGUUCUUUGUUUAUAGAUGUAAAUACAUGCAACUGCUGGGACUGUGGAGAGAGCUCAGUCAGGACAUCACCAGAAGACCAAGACACAGAUCACAAUCUGAGAUGAAGCCACCGAGGCUUUCGAGCCUUCACUUAGAGCAUCCUCCAGAGGAUGAAGAUGGAAGAGCAGAAAGAAGUUCCUAUGCUGAGCGAACCAGGAGUAUUAUCACUGAGCCAAGCAAAUUUCCUAGUGACCCCUGAUCCAGAACUCUCGUCAGAAAUCCUCAGUUUAAAAGGCUAGUAAAUGGAUGUUAAAGCCAAAGAACCUACAAGGGGCUCACCAGUGCUGUGAAGCCCAUCUCUUGAUGAGAAAGGUGACUUACUCUCCCCACUAAUAAAAUUAGUGAUGUUAGUGAUGCACUGACCUUAAUAAGUCUGUCACAGUCCCAGACCCAACUCACACUUGGCUCAGGUCACACUGAUUAGCCCCAAGUCUCAACAAAGCAUGUUCAAAGCUC